rnacentral:rRNA from 1 species
GGGAAAUUGCCCUAGUAACGGCGAGUGAAGCGGCAACAGCUCAAAUUUGAAAUCUGGCUUCGGCCCGAGUUGUAAUUUGCAGAGGAUGUUUCUGGCGCGGUGCCUUCCGAGUUCCCUGGAACGGGACGCCACAGAGGGUGAGAGCCCCGUAUGGUCGGACACCAAGCCUGUGUGAAACUCCUUCAACGAGUCGAGUAGUUUGGGAAUGCUGCUCUAAAUGGGAGGUAAAUCUCUUCUAAAGCUAAAUACCGGCCAGAGACCGAUAGCGCACAAGUAGAGUGAUCGAAAGAUGAAAAGCACCUUGAAAAGGGGGUUAAAUAGUACGUGAAAUUGUUGAAAGGGAAGCACUUAUGACCAGACUUGGGCCGGGCGGCUCAUCAGGGGUUCUCCCCUGUGCACUCCGCCCGGCACAGGCCAGCAUCGGUUUUCGCGGGGGGAUAAGACCGACGGGAACGUAGCACCCUCCGGGGUGUGUUAUAGCCCGGCGGACGAUACCCUCGCGGGGACCGAGGUCCGCGCUCCGCAAGGAUGCUGGCGUAAUGGUCAUCAGUGACCCGUCUUGAAACACGGACMCA